rnacentral:lncRNA from 1 species
CCAAGGGAGAAGGGGCAGCACCAAAGGAGAGAGGCCAAGGAGAAGAAGGGCCUCUCUCUUUCUCUCUUCUCUCAAUCUGAUUUGUUUGCUAUGCACCCAUAAGUAGAGAUCCUCUCUAUUUAUAGAUGAAUCUCAUGAUCCAAUAAGUAUAGGACUCCUAACUCAAACAUGCUUUGAAUCAGUCCAAUAAUCAUAAAAGAAGGACUCCUACAUAAGAUAGUAUUACUAUCACAUAUGACAAUCAUAUUGCACCCAAUCCCUCACCCACAUAGGAUGCCCAC